rnacentral:rRNA from 1 species
GACGAACGCUGGCGGCAUGCCUAACACAUGCAAGUCGAACGAGACCUUCGGGUCUUGUGGCGCACGGGUGCGUAACGCGUGGGAACCUGCCCUUAGGUUCGGAAUAACUCCCCGAAAGGGGUGCUAAUACCGGAUAAUGUCUUCGGACCAAAGAUGUAUCGCCUUUGGAUGGGCCCGCGUUGGAUUAGCUAGUUGGUAGGGUAAAAGCCUACCAAGGCGACGAUCCAUAGCUGGUCUGGGAGGAUGAUCAGCCACACUGGAGCUGAGACACGGCCCAGACUCCUACGGGAGGGAGCAGUGGGGAAUAUAGGACAAUGGGCGAAAGCCUGAUCCAGCAAUGCCGCGUAAGUGAUGAAGGCCGUAGGGUUGUAAAGCUCUUUUAACCGGGAUGAUAAUGACAGUACCGGGAGAAUAAGCUCCGGCUAACUCCGUG